UCAGAUCUGAGAAAGGGAAGUACCAAGAGGAGAGACAUUCCCCAGACACCCCUGGUGUUCACUGGCACUCCAUGUGAUUAGCAGCCACUGGAAAGUAGAUGUCCAUCACCUUCGUUUAGAUACACAGACUGUGGUGGGUAAGAACGCAGGUCUGCACCUGACGGGAGCUUGAAUCUGGCUCAUCAUGAACUUAGUACUCGGGCCUCUCACUGUUGUGGCCUCUCCCGUUGCGGAGCACAGGC